CAAUGACAAGGUUAGGGACGGGUGGAGACGGUUCGCUGUUGUAGAACAUCUAACAUCUGGUUGACUGUUGUCCAUUACCGCUGUCUGUGGAGGUAUCGUGCAUUAUGUUUAUACAAAGAGGGCUCCGAAGGUACUUCGGUCUCAGUCUGUUCGAUAGAUUAGGAUGUCAUGUGGGCCAUGCCAAAAGUUGGGAAACUGUACACAAAAACACAAGCAAAAGCACCGAAUGUACUGAUUCAACACUUGACCUAUUCUGACUUGAGGGGCAGAAGGAAACACAACCCUAAUGCAAAAACUGCACUCAGAAGGAUUCAAGUUUGUUUGUCAGCCCUUCGUAACACAUCCGGUGGCAAACUGAUCAUUCAUGUCAGUGGACAAGCUUACAGUGAUCAUUUCCUUGGCUAUUUCGAUGAGUUUCUUGAAGAAAGUCUGAACAAUUUGAUCUGUGAUGGACAACUAUUCAUUACAGCAUAUGAGAGACACUGGUUGCGGGAAUUACCAACGUUUCAGAAUUUCAAAGACUUCAUCGUCAUAUCUGUUACUCAAACCAAAGGAGUGGCUACAGUUGAUUUCAAAACGAAAGUGUGUUCAGAUCUGAAAGUUGAACGCCCAUCAGCACUCAAUAUUCUGUCCAUUUUGAGUGACUCGCUCCCAUUUCGAGUCAAACCAGCAGAAUUGAGAGGUAUCGAACCAGUACCCUAUGAAAGUCGACAUGUGCAGCUAAAGACUUUCAAACCAAACGAAGACGACAGGAAGAUUAUAGACAAAGACCCAGAGAGAUUUGCAAACUACGUGUGGGAUAAGCUUCGAUUUCGAGAAUAUCUGAGCUGUAUGACAAAAAUUGAAAGCGGGGGUUCUUAUUAUUUGGGCAUUACUGAAAAGAAGAAUACGUUCAAGACGUCUAGUGAAGUACAGUAUGAAAGUCUAGUUCCUCACAUUGAAGGUUUUGAACUUCAGUUUGGUGUUCAGGAGCUAGAGGAGCAACUAUAUCGUGUAAUAACAUCAAGUGCUAUCGUAUUAGUUGCAAAUAGUUCCUUCAUCGCCAUUCAACGAGAGCUUGUUCAAUUCAAGUUCUAUACUGUGGCCACGGAUAAAUACGUUCUUGAAAUUGCAGUUGGUCGUUUGACAGGAGGUAUUGUGUUCUUUGACAAGCAAGGCCCAGAAGCGUAUCAAAUAUUGCCGAAUGGAAAUGUUGAAAGAUUGACCAAAGAGGAUUGGUUGCACAGAAUGCGGAGUACGCUAGAUGACAUUUGUAAAUCAACGUACAACAAAGGUUAAACCUCUUACCAUUUUUAUCAGCAAGAGAGUCAGUUGGAACGUUUACGAAAACGGAUAAAAACUCAGAACUAAAUGUAGAACACUCUGCUGUGCUUUCUAAAUAGUUAAAUGAUCGAGAGUGGGACAACGCAACUUGUGUGGAGUGCAACAUAUGCAUGAACAUGGCUUCAAACUCGGAUGGAACCGAUUCAGAUAUAAAUACUGGCAAUCUGUAUGAGAACAUUCGCUGUGAGUACACGAAGGGAUACUCCUCUACCUUUGAUAGUAGCAGUGAUUCGGACUCUCGGGCCCGUUACCACUCUGAUUGUGAUGGGGUUUCAGUUCUUCGUGAUGAAAUCCUUCUUAGAGGUAUGAGUGGACGAAGGAUGGAACCGAACAAUAAGGAUUCAGAAUCAGACUCACUUCGAGAGGAGGUUCGGGUAAACCAUGAGCAGAUCAUGAAGCAGUUGGUGAGGAUUGAAGGUCACAAGGAUUUCUCCUGAAGACACGUCUAUUGACAGCCAAAUAUUGACAACACACCUACUGCAGGUUCCGCUACAUGGACAUGACGUGCACCGUAAAAGAAGUCCUGGAGGAAGCGAAACUGAUGAUUAAACAGAGGGUUUGUCAUCUCGCAUUUAAUAGACAAGACAUGAAGACAAGUGUUGACAGUACUUCACAGUUGAGUCGAAUGCAGGUCGAAUGUGACAAUAUUUAAUGUUUAAUCAGCAGCCACCUGCCUGUCUUUUUCAUUAAGUCCAGAAAGAGUUACGUCCCCUGCCACAAACCUACCUGUUUGGUGCUGGUUUCAUUUCUGUUUUGAUUCUAGGCUCGCCAGCAGCAUACACAUGCUACUGUUUCUUCGAAAUGGAAAAUGGCAAAGAAAUGCAUCACUUCGGACUUAGCUUUCAUCUAAAUCUGACAGGGCGGUGAGGUAGCCUUGUAGUUAUUUCAUAGUUUUCGCACGUCACGCCGAAGACCCGGGUUCUAUUCCCCACAUGGGUAUAGACUGG
rnacentral:misc_RNA from 1 species